AUAUUAAAUAUUUUUAAGAAAUAUAAAUGAUACGAAAUAAAAAUUUAUACAUAUAAUUAUGUAAGUAUAUAAAGAGACUAUUAGGUAAUACUAGCUAUAUAUUAAAGAGAAACAUGAAUUUAUCAAAUUAAUUGGGAUAAUUGACUCUAAGAUAAAUCUUAAUAAAAAAAACGAAGUGAAUUGAAUUAUCUUAUUAGCUUCAGGAAAAAGAAAUCAAAAGAGAUUCUAUGAGUAGUGUGAACAAAAGUAGAAAAGUCUAAAUAAUAAGUAAAAUUGCCAUAAAGCUGUUUGAAUAUUAUGGGGUACCUUCCUCAAAGACUAAAUAUAAUAUAUAAGCGAUAGAAUAGAGUACCGUGAGGGAAAGUAAAUAACUAGUAGUUUUAUAAGCAGCUCGAGCGAAAGCAAGAGCGUACCUUUUGCAUAAUGGGUCACCAAGUUAAUUUUAGAUGCGAGCUAAUGCGUAGUUAAACCGAUCAUAUAAAUAAUGAAUAGUAUCUAAAGUUAGACCCGAAGUACAGUGAUCUUACCAUGGUCAGGACUAUAAAGGUCCGAACGGGUUAUUGUUGCAAAAAUAUCCGAAGAAUUGUGGUAAGUAUAGUGAAAGACAAUUCUUGACUGUAUUAGCUGGUUUUCUGCGAAACCUAUACUAGUAGGCAAUUUAAAUAACAUCUUAGCAGGUACAGAACUUAAUCUCAGACAAGAUGUAAAUACAUUUUCUUUUUGUACAAAUCGGGGAAUCAUGAGGAUUUUACCGGUGAGUUUGUGGACUCGGAAUGGUAAAGAUGAAUUUUAAAUUAUCAGACAUAUAAUGAUAAGGUUGUAUGUCAAAAGGGAAACAGCCCAGAACAAGAGUUAAGGUUCCAAAAUUAUUAUUAAGUGAAAUUAAGAAGGUCUAUAUGUAAACCGACAAGGAGAUUGGCUUAGAAGCAGCCACAAUUUAAAGACCUCGUACCAGAGCACUAGUCUACGUAAAAAGCAUUAAAAAUUUAACGGAUCUAAAUAAUAUACCGAUACCUUGUCUAUAGACGAUAAUAAUUAUUAUUAUCUUUUAUGGGGUAGCAGAACGUUGAGUAAAUUUUAGUAUUUUUUUUUAUAAAAAGAAUUAUAUUAUAACUCAAGUGAGAAUGGUGACAUGAGUAACGAAAAAGAAAACUCGCCUAAAGCUUAUGGUUAGGAUUAAGUAUCGGCCUCUAAGUUUAUAACCUAAGGGUUAAAAUGAUGAGAAAAUCUUAUUACUAUUAUAGACAACAUUUUUUAAGUGAAAAAUGGACUUGAAAAAAAUAGUAAAUAAAUUAACCGUACCUAGGGUCUACAACAAGUAAGCUAGUAGAGAAUACGAAGGCGCAUGAGAUAACAAUCUUAAAGGAACUCGGCAAAAUGACUCCGUAACUUCGGGAUAAGGAGGGCUCAUUUAUUCUGAUUAAUAUCAGAUAUAGAGGAAGAAUCAUAAAAUAGUGUUGUACGACUGUUUAAUUAAAACACAGCACUUUGCAGAGAUGUUAAAUCUAAGUAUCAAGUGUGAAAUCUGCCCAAUUCCGGCUAAUAACUAACUUAGUUAAAUUUAUAUAAAUUUAGUUAAUAGGGAACAACCGGCAAAUGGCGGCCUUAACCUGAGGGUCCUAAGGUAGCGAAAUGCCUUGGCCGUUAAAUGCGGUCUUGCACGAAUGAUGUAACGAUACAACAGCUGUCUCUAAGAUUGACUCAGUGAAAUUGGAAUAACUGUGCAGAUACAGUUUACCUCUAGAUAGACGAGAAGACCCUAUGCAGCUUUACUGUUACUAGUUAUUGAAUAUAAUUAAGUUUAUUAUUAGUUUAAAAGGUUUAUUGAUUAAAUAAAAGUGAAAGACCUUUAUUUACUUAUUAUAUUAAUACUUUAGUUGAACUGGACAGUGACUAGUAGACAGUUUAUGUGGGGCACAGACCCCUUAAAGAGUAAAAGGGUGUAUCUAAAAUAUAUAACUUAAAGUUUAUUUUAAUCUUUUUUGUUUGUUAUUAUUUUAACUUUGUUAUAUUUAAUCUUUUCUUUUGUGUAUGUAAAUGUAUAUUAUAUGUACAUAGAUAUAGAGUUAGGUAGGAUUUUAAUUAUGGUGUAAAUUAAUUGUAUAUAAAAAGACAUAUAUAUAUAUAUAUAUUAUCUUUAAUAGUUAUUAUAAUAUUUAAUUAUUAAUAAUUAUGUUUAAUACUUAUAAAGUUGAAUGGCUUAAUCUUGCUUUACUGUUUGAUUGACAACAAAUCUUACAGUCGCGUAAGCGGGGCAUUAGAUCACAAGAUACAAUAAGGAAAGGUCUUGGAUUAUUGGAAAAGCUACGCUAGGGAUAACAGGCUAAUUUGCGCAAGAGUGAACGCAAUGAGUGCGCGGUUUGGCACCUCGAUGUCGGCUUAACUUAUCCUCGUGGAUGCAGAAACUAUGAAGGGUACGACUGUUCGUCGAUUAAAAAGUUACAUGAGCUGGGUUAAAUACGUCGUGAGACAGUAUGGUUUCUAUCUUCUAGGGGGAAUUAGAAUAUAAUAAGGAUUAACCUUGUACGAAAGGAACGUGGGCAACGCCUUAUUUGUAAAAAGAAUAAUGGUUUUGUUAACCUAUGGUUUAUCUGUUGUUUAUGUGCCCAAAUAUUAAUUUAGGUAUAUAUUUUAUACCGGGAUGUUACUUUCACUUAAGUAAAUAUAUAGCAUAGGCAUAGCAGAAAAGCUAAGUUAGCCAGAGAUAAGUGUUGAAAGCAUAUAUAUACGAGGCUCGCCUUAAGAUAUUUCUUAAAUAUACGUAAAACAAUAUUACGAAUUUAAUAGGCUUAGUUUGUAAGGAUUUAGAGAUCUUUAGAUACUAAGUACUAAUUUUAUAAAUAACUGAAUCUUUA
rnacentral:rRNA from 1 species